rnacentral:lncRNA from 1 species
CUCUGGACAACCGGGAGAAUUGCAUUUUCUGAGGCCCACGAUAAGCACCCAACCGUUAAUAUUUCCAUGCUUCUCUGUCCAUCCCAUGGAGCCUGGGGCUUGAGGGACUGUGCAGUGAGGCAGCAACUCACAUCUCCAGCUGUUGGACUGGUCCUGCCAGCGACGUCUGCUCAGUAGAACAAGCAGCACUUCCCCCAGCUCAGCACUGUCUCAUUUCUGAGACUGAACACCCCGUGGUCACUCUACAUGGAUGGGUUAAUUUCCCUUGGAAAAGUAUUGAUGAUCAAGUGAUGCUAGCAGCAACAGUGUUAAAGGCUUUAACGCUUUUAAAGGACAUAGAGUGAAAUGCUGACCUUUCCUGAGGCAAUUUCAAUAGAAUGGUAGGGUGCGAGAUUGAAUGGAGGAGGAAGAGAAGAUGGGUGACACAGGCUUAAACUGAGACAAUCCAGCAUGGAACACUUGCAGGAAGUACUAGGAAAGUGCAUUUUCUUUCCAUGAGGGUUGCCAAACUGGAAGCAUGUUAGCUAAAGCUACCUGUAGUCAUUUUGUGGCCACAUUGGGUGAGAUUGUCUGAGAAAGCAAACCAACUGAAGCAGAGCAGAGAAGAUACUCUACCAACCUAGUUGGAGCCCUGGUUCCAGCCUUGCCUGAAGCUAAAUGCACCUCUAUGCUUCCUUUUUACUGACCCAAUAAAUUUCCCUAUUUGUUUAAACUAAGAGCUCUAAAUACCAUUUCCCACAUAGAAACCUCAGAGAAAUGGCUAAUUUCAGGACUGAGGCAGGAAAAAUACAAGGCCCUGAUUAGGUUAUUGACAUUGGCCACAUCAGUGUCACAGAGUUUCUUCACAGCCUGUUUGAUCUGGCACUUGUUGGCUUUGGCAUCCACAGUGAACACAGGCAUGUGGUUGUCUUCUGUCUUCAUGGUGGACUCGGCAGUUGGGAGCCUGACGAUGGAUGGCAUGAUGGUCAAGCUUGUUUCUCCUGGGGGUGCUCUUCUGAAGACAUUUGAGCUGCCUCUGGAACCACAGUGUCUUGGGUCCCAGAAGGAAACUCCAAGGAACAGAGGAGCUCAGAGAAGACUAGAACUCUGUAUUCCGUACCCGUAAACAAUUUGUAUAAGCAAAAUAAAACUUUUUAACUUUCCUCAUCCCAAUCU